GAUGAACGCUGGCGGCGUGCUUAACACAUGCAAGUCGAACGAAGCACUUUAUUUGAUUUCCUUCGGGACUGAUUAUUUUGUGGCUGAGUGGCGGACGGGUGAGUAACGCGUGGGUAACCUGCCUUGUACAGGGGGAUAACAGUUGGAAACGGCUGCUAAUACCGCAUAAGCGCACAGCAUCGCAUGAUGCAGUGUGAAAAACUCCGGUGGUAUAAGAUGGACCCGCGUUGGAUUAGCUAGUUGGUGAGGUAACGGCCCACCAAGGCGACGAUCCAUAGCCGACCUGAGAGGGUGACCGGCCACAUUGGGACUGAGACACGGCCCAAACUCCUACGGGAGGCAGCAGUGGGGAAUAUUGCACAAUGGGCGAAAGCCUGAUGCAGCGACGCCGCGUGAGCGAAGAAGUAUUUCGGUAUGUAAAGCUCUAUCAGCAGGGAAGAUAAUGACGGUACCUGACGAAGAAGCACCGGCUAAAUACGUG
rnacentral:rRNA from 1 species